rnacentral:rRNA from 1 species
CGUAGGUGGCAAGCGUUGUCCGGAUUUACUGGGCGUAAAGCGUAUGCAGGCGGGCCCUUAAGUAGGAAGUGAAAGGUUGGAGCUCAACUCUAACAUUGCUCCCUAUACUGGGGGUCUUGAGUGCCGGAGAGGAAGAGGGAACUACACGUGUAGCGGUGAAAUGCGUUGAGAUGUGUAGGAACACCUAUGGCGAAAGCACUCUUCUGGACGGAAACUGACGCUGAGAUACGAAAGCCAAGGGAGCAAACAGGAUUAGAUACCCUGGUAGUCUUGGCCAUAAACGAUGUUCACUAGGUGUUGGGGGGUUUCCCUCGGUGCCGCAGCUAACGCAUUAAGUGAACCGCCUGGGAACUACGGCCGCAAGGUUG